AUACGGAGGGUGCGAGCGUUAAUCGGAAUUACUGGGCGUAAAGCGCGCGUAGGUGGUUUUGUAAGUCGGAUGUGAAAGCCCCGGGCUCAACCUGGGAAUUGCAUUCGAUACUGCAAGACUUGAGUAUGGUAGAGGGAAGUGGAAUUCCGGGUGUAGCGGUGAAAUGCGUAGAUAUCCGGAGGAACAUCAGUGGCGAAGGCGGCUUCCUGGACCAAUACUGACGCUGAGGUGCGAAAGCGUGGGGAGCAAACAGGAUUAGAAACCCCAGUAGUCC
rnacentral:rRNA from 1 species